UACGGAGGGUGCAAGCGUUAUCCGGAUUCACUGGGUUUAAAGGGUGCGUAGGCGGCAUGAUAAGUUAUUGGCGGCAAAUCGAGGCUCAACCUCGUGGAAACUAAUAAUACUGUCUUGCUUGAGUGCAGAAGAGGUUAACGGAACUCCAUGUGGAGCGGUAAAAUGUGUAGAUAUAUGGAAGAACAUCAAUAACGGCGAAGGCAGUUAACUAUUCUGUUACUGACGUUGAGGCACGAAAGCGUGGGGAGCAAAAAGG
rnacentral:rRNA from 1 species